UACGGGGGGGGUAAGCGUUGUUCGGAAUUACUGGGCGUAAAGGGCUCGUAGGCGGCCAACUAAGUCAUACGUGAAAUCCCUCAGCUUAACUGGGGAACUGCGUGUGAUACUGGAUGGCUUGGAUUUGGGAGAGGGAUGCGGAAUUCCAGGUGUAGCGGUGAAAUGCGUAGAUAUCAGGAAGAACACCCGUGGCUAAGGCGGCUCUCUGGUACGGUACUGACGCUGAGACGCGAAAGCGUGGGGAGCGAACAGG
rnacentral:rRNA from 1 species